AGGCCCGAACCCUGCAUAGAAGAGAAUCGACUAAGUUUGGAGGCGGGCAUAUGGGUGAACAGCCAAUAGAUAGUAGCAGGAGAGGCAGAACAACCCAAUAGCUACCAUGGGCGGUAUUUUGAGCCUCAGGUUGCCCAAUGAAGUGUUCUACAGGUGCUGAUUGCAGGGCCCGCCCGCACAGUUCUGGGCGGUACUCGGAUAGGCGGGCGGGCGCUGAGACGGCCGUUUCCUGUCCUGGUGCAUGGUGGUCGGACGGAGGAAUUGUUGGAAAAUUUCUCGGCGAGGAGAGUAUUUCCAGACUCCUGAAGAUUUCUGGUAGCUCAGAUGUAACACUUUGUUGAAUUAACACUGGAGGCACCCCCAGAAGAGAGCCUUGGAGAGUGGGUAAUGCUUGCUUGUUCUGAGCAUAAGCAUAAAAAUUACAUUUUAAGCAUAGUUUGAUUUAUAAUAUAUCUUCCUCCAUGUCAGUUAUUACCACUGAUAUUGUAAUUUUGACAUGUUUUGCAUUGUUUUUGUCAAUAUUUUUCCUUUAAUAGUUCGUUUUUGAAAAAGAUUCCUUUGGAGAAGUAAAAAAUGCCUCGCAAAUACUCCAAGAAAAUAUUAUAGUCUCCCCAAAAUAACAAGUGUUCAUUGAUUGCUACACAGAAAAAGUACUACAGUGGUGCCCCACUUGACGAUUACCCCGCAUUACGAUGAAUCAGCUUCACGACGACGUUUUUGCGAUCGCUUUUGCGAUUGCAAAACGAUGGUCUAAAUAGAGUUUUUUCACUCUGCGAUGAUCGGUUCCCGAAGCAGGAUUCUUCACAAAACAAUGGUUUUUUAACAGCUGAUCGGUGGCUUCAAAAUGGCCACCGGGUAAUUAAAAUGGAUCCCUGCUGUGUUUAGGGAUGGAUUCCUCGCUAUACAGGCACCAAAAAUGGCCGCCGUAUGGAGGAUCUUCGCUGGACGGUGAGUUUUUAGCCCAUUGGAAUGCAUUGAACGGUUUUCAAUGCAUUUCAAUGGACUUUUUAUUUUCGCUUUACGAUGUUUUCGCUUAACAGUGAUUUUCCUGGAACGGAUUAUUGCCGUUAAGCGAGGCACCACUGUGCAUUACUUAUCCUUACCUUGUUUGUAAAAAAAGCAUGAUGAUGCCCUUCUUACAAAAAUAAAAUAAAAUAAAUGUCCUACUUAGAAGUUCUG
rnacentral:lncRNA from 1 species